rnacentral:rRNA from 1 species
CCUACGGGUGGCAGCAGUGAGGAAUAUUGGUCAAUGGACGAGAGUCUGAACCAGCCAAGUAGCGUGAAGGAUGACUGCCCUAUGGGUUGUAAACUUCUUUUAUAUGGGAAUAAAACGUUCCACGUGUGGGCUUUUGUGUGUACCAUAUGAAUAAGGAUCGGCUAACUCCGUGCCAGCCGCAGCGGUAAUACGGAGGAUCCGAGCGUUAUCCGGAUUUAUUGGGUUUAAAGGGAGCGUAGGGGGGUUGGUAAGUCAGUUGUGAAAGUUUGCGGGUCAAACGUAAAAUUGCAGUUGAAACUGGCAGUCUUGAGUAGAGUAGAGGUGGGCGGAAUGCGUGGGGUAGCGGUGAAAUGCUUAGAUAUCACGAAGAACUCCGAUUGCGAAGGCAGUUCACUGGACUGCAACUGACACUGAGGCUCGAAAGUGUGGGUAUCAAACAGGAUUAGAUACCCUUGUAGUC